UCGGGCAUAACACCCCCGACGUUAAGUUUUGCUUUAUCUCUGCGCGAAACGCAGAACCCUCGCGCUGUUCAUCGUUUUCGCGAGAGUUCCCGCCGGCGACGCCAUUUCCGACCCCCUCCAGCGUUUUGAGAUUCGUCCCACUUGCUCUUCGUUCCCAUUUGGCCAGCAGUGUGCGGAGACCCUAGACUUCCUCUCAAAGUUCGUCUUUCAAUUAGAGGAGGUAUGACAAGCUCCGGAUCAGACCAGGAGGGACCUGGUAGAUCUGUGACUCGGUUGCCGGAUGUCACAAACCGACGAGAGAGGAUGCCGGUCCACAUUGAUCCUCGAUCGGGUGAACCCAGUGGCCCUUGGGAAAAAAAGUACCGUAGCUACAUAGGAAUGUUGGCCAAAACGAAAGUUUCUAUUGCAAUUGCAUGUUGGGAUGACGUCGCGGAGGUCGAGAAGAACCUUCUAUGGCAGGAUCUUGUGCACAAAUUUGAGAUUACUCCGAACACUGAGCGAAUUAGAAAGAAAGUCUUAUCUCACAUAGCCACCAGAUGGAGGGACUUCAAGGCAAGGCUC